rnacentral:tRNA from 1 species
UCCGACAUAGCUCAGCGGUAGAGCGGGUGGCUGUUAACCACUAGGUCUCUGGUUCGAAUCCAGAUGUCGGAGCCA